AGAGUUUGAUCCUGGCUCAGGAUGAACGCUGACAGAAUGCUUAACACAUGCAAGUCAAUGGGGAAACGGUGCUUGCACCGUGAUAACCAUGGCGGACGGGUGAGUAACGCGUAAAGAACUUGCCUCUUAGUCUGGGAUAACAGAUGGAAACGACUGAUAAGACUAGAUAUUAUUAAAGCUUCGCAUGAAGCUUUAAUGAAAAGAGAUGCUAAGAGAGAGCUUUGCGUCCUAUUAGUUAGUUGGUGAGGUAACGGCUCACCAAGACGAAGAUAGGUAGCCGGUCUGAGAGGAUGAACGGCCACAAGGGGACUGAGAUACGGCCCUUACUCUUACGGGAGGCAGCAGUGGGGAAUAUUGGACAAUGGAGGAGACUCUGAUCCAGCAAUUCUGUGUGCACGAAGACGGUUUUCGGAUUGUAAAGUGCUUUCAGCAGGGAAGAAGAAAGUGACGGUACCUGCAGAAGAAGCGACGGCUAAAUACGUGCCAGCAGCCGCGGUAAUACGUAUGUCGCAAGCGUUAUCCGGAAUUAUUGGGCAUAAAGGGCAUCUAGGCGGCCAGAUAAGUCUGGGGUGAAAACUUGCGGCUCAACCGCAAGCCUGCCCUGGAAACUAUGUGGCUAGAGUACUGGAGAGGUGGACGGAACUGCACGAGUAGAGGUGAAAUUCGUAGAUAUGUGCAGGAAUGCCGAUGAUGAAGAUAGUUCACUGGACGGUAACUGACGCUGAAGUGCGAAAGCUAGGGGAGCAAACAGGAUUAGAUACCCUGGUAGUCCUAGCUGUAAACGAUGAUUACUGGGUGUGGGCAUGAAGAGUGUCUGUGCCGAAGCUAAUGCGAUAAGUAAUCCGCCUGGGGAGUACGACCGCAAGGUUGAAACUCAAAGGAAUUGACGGGGACCCGCACAAGCGGUGGAGCAUGUGGUUUAAUUCGACGCAACGCGAGGAACCUUACCAGAUCUUGACAUCCUGCGAAGGCCUGCGAGAGCAGGCUGUGCCUCCGGGAACGCAGAGACAGGUGGUGCAUGGCUGUCGACAGCUCGUGUCGUGAGAUGUUGGGUUAAGUCCCGCAACGAGCGCAACCCCUAUAGUUAGUUACCAUCAUUAAGUUGGGGACUCUAACUAGACUGCCUGCGAAGAGCAGGAGGAAGGUGGGGAUGACGUCAAGUCAUCAUGCCC
rnacentral:rRNA from 1 species